rnacentral:misc_RNA from 1 species
AUUUUAUCUUGUCAAAUUUUAUGAUAAUUCACAAUUUGAUGGUUGUUACUGUUUAAUUUGGCUUUAGUAAAUGGUCUCAGUUGGACCUUUUGAGCUUGUAUUUCUAUCCUUUUCUAGAAUAUUAACUAUUCUAUAAAUUGAAUUGCUUAUGAUAUUGGUGUUUGCUCCAGUGUUUUGGUAUAUGCCAGCUGUGUUUUUAUUAAUGCGAAGUGUAGGAAUUCAAAUGGGAAUGCUGUGUUUUUCAAUAGAAGUAGCCAUGUGCACAUUGCCAAAUAUUUAAUGCUUUAUUUAACUUGAAAGUUUGGAUAUAGAGAAUUAAAUAACAAUGUCCUUCAUGAUUAAGUCUACCUUGUGCCAAUCUUAAAUAAAAUUUCCGGUGUAAUGUUAGUGUGUAGUUUUCAGAUAUGUUAACACCUUGGCACAUCAUUCAGAACUCAAAAAGUUGUUUCUCAAAGGAUGAUAAAUUGACAUAAAUAACAUAACAACAAUCAUGAUUUCAUUUAAUUGAGCAGCAUUAGUAGCUGAUUUUACAUUCCUUUAGUAGCAACUCCUUGAAAGUGCAUUCAAACAUACAGGAUUAUUCAUAUUUGUGAUGCCUUUUAUAUACACAUUUCAUUUUCUCUGGCUGACAUUACAACAAGAUUUUAGAGCUUUACAAUUCUAAUAUUUUCUAUUGUUUCUUGUUAUAAUUUAGGAGGAGGAGACUGUAUAGCAUAUUCUUCUUUUUGCUGUCAUUGCUAAUUGUUUUUCUAUCAGCAAAUGUGUUGUUGAUCAAUAACAGAAAGCACAUUCUCAGUGUCUUUGCCCUUGAUUAAAUGGUGAAAUUUUGGAGAAGCUUUUUACACAUGUUCCGUGGUAUAUUUUAUGAAUGUAUGGUACAGGCUGUUUCUUGAUUGAUGAAAGCACGUUUUUAUUUGUAAUUAUGACAUAAAAUUACACUAACCUUACUUGUCAUCCACUUUGUCUGCAUCUUUAAUUACUAAAUCAAAAUGCUUUUUCAAGAGCCAGAAGGUUCUGCUAUAUGGAGGGACUGAACUGUGAUGGGUAGAAACUAGGCAUUGUAAGUAAACACUUCUCCUAUCCAUCAAGAAUAAGAUGCAGCGAGUUAGCUGCAUUUGUUGGCUGCUGUUUUGCUCGUCUUGAUCAAUGUACAGAUUUUUAAUGUUUGGAUAAGUAAUUUUGAGGAUAUUAUUGUUUAAAUUUUUGUGGCUGCAGUUUAUAGAAGAUGCUAAUAUGCAUCCUCUUUUUUAACUACAGAUGGAAA